UACGUAGGGUGCAAGCGUUAAUCGGAAUUACUGGGCGUAAAGCGUGCGCAGGCGGUGAUGUAAGACAGUUGUGAAAUCCCCGGGCUCAACCUGGGAACUGCAUCUGUGACUGCAUCGCUGGAGUGCGGCAGAGGGGGAUGGAAUUCCGCGUGUAGCAGUGAAAUGCGUAGAUAUGCGGAGGAACACCGAUGGCGAAGGCAAUCCCCUGGGCCUGCACUGACGCUCAUGCACGAAGCGUGGG
rnacentral:rRNA from 1 species